GGCGCUCAGGUGCAAGCAAUGUACCUGAGUGAUUGGGAAGGUGAAUCGUGGUUCCACCCCUUCCCAGACCUCAUUUAAGGGUCAGCAUUGGAGGUGGGAGUAUCUUGUUGGAGGUCCCUGCAUACUUGAGGUCUUCCAAAGGUUCAUAAGACAUAUUCCUAAGAGGACAGCAAUCACCUGCUGUGGUUUAUAAAGAAGAGAUAACAAAACUUUCUGAGAGAUCCACCACUUCUUUGUGUGAUGAUGCUGGGCUGAGCAUGAAGAAAAGAAUCUCAUUAUGGAGUUACUGUUUCUAGCGAGUCAUUGGAAGUUGCUGCCUCCAAGAGUCAUGCGGUUUCAGGAUAGAUAUGCUCAGAAGUGGGUUUCCACUAAGUGGAGACAUCCUGUGUGUUCGCACAGAAGUCAACCACAGCCUUGUGCUGCUGCGUCAGGGGAAUUGAUACAGGAUUGAUUGACCAGCCUUGCCCUGAGUACGGAUAAUCAUUUGCUUCUUAAACUUCCAUCCAGUGCUUUGGCAAGCAGAAAGCCUGCACCAGUGCCAAACCUGUAACUAUUUUACUAACAGUGAUGACAUGUAUGCCUGUUCUGCACGAUCCUAUUUUCUUGCUUCUGUUGCUGGCUCUGAACAACUCGGUACUUCAGAUAAUAGAGACCUCAUCCCUGCAUCUGUCUCUCAGCAGGGUGAGCUUUAACCUAGGCUUUGAACAGGUUUUAAAGAGAAAGAGGAAAAAAUACAUCAAAGCCACAAAAAGGAAAAAUACAUGAAGAGGUACUGACUUUGUAGAUACUGCAGAAAAAGGAACAGUGUGUGCUGUCUUAUGGAUAAUAAAGGCCACAUUGCUGCAGUGCCUGGGGACUAUGGCAAGGUGGAGGCCAUCUUUGCUAUGAAAAACUGCCACGAAGUCUCAAAACACUCUUAAUAAAUACAGGUUGUGCAGCAUGGCACAAUAAUCAUCUGUCCAUAAGGGUCCGACAUCCGCAAUCACGUUCUCAACUCCAUCUGACUCAAUUCGGUUCUCUUCUAUCCCAGUCUUCACAAACGGAUCUUUUAAUGAAUAGCUGAAUUGACUGAAACUUAAUAACAGAGUAUUCAUUUUUGGUCUCACACAGGGAGAGAAUAGUGUAUGCAGUAUGUUAUUUUAUUUUAAGCUUUCAUGUCUUCACCUUACAUUUUGUGUCCUACUUUUAAAAAUGUGCCUGGAAUUCAUUCACUGUCUCCAGACAGAGGGCCUUUAAACAAGGACUCAGACUAUUUUUCUAUGCUCAGUUGCAAAGUUAUUGCUGUUAACAGAACUCCAUGAUAAAUUCAGUUCAGCUCACUGCUUUAUUCUAAUUUCCUGAUAGAUUUAAUUCACUGAUGGUGCGUUUGUGUAUACAGCUAUUCAGAAAAAUGCACUUAUGCAUUAAGGAAUCAAGUUAGAUAAACUAUUCAUGCAGGAAGAGUUGGUGACCUGUAGAUGCCAUGUGUAACUUAUUUGAAAUUCAUUGUGCUUAUCUUGGAUAAUUUCUCACCUGCUUUAUUUGCUAAAAUACACAUUUUUAAAUGACCAAGCAGGGAAUAUAUCUCCUUUUUUCUAAAACUUUUGUCCCUUCUGUGCUGCAGCAGCUGCCUGCCAUGUUAUUGUUCUUUUUGUAGCUGGCAGGCUUUUUGGGUGAUGGCCAAAAAUUUCAUGUGGGGAGUGGGACAAUUUGCAUCUCAAUGGUGGAUGACAAGGCUGGGCGUGGGUGCGCUCAGUCAUACCAGGUGAGGCACUUCCAGCUCACCUGGAGUCAUUAAUUCAAUAAGAAGUUAAUUACAAUGAAAGAGGAAAACAAACUUCCAUGUAACAGAUGGCAAUUUUUUAGUGUAAUGGAAAUCAAAAGGAUUGUUUAUUUUUUUUUCAAAAUACCACUACAUUGUGCCCUAAAUGGUAUAAAAAUUCUCUCGGUAUAUACUUAAGGAAUUGCGUAUGUUGUUUAACUGCACUGACUCUGCAAUGCUUUUGGAUACCUAUUUUCUAUAGUUUCUGACAUUUGCAAGUUUUUGAUCCUAAAACUUUUCCAUCAACGUCUAGUUUUCCUGGCUGAUUGUUUGUGGCUUGGUUCCUUAAGUAUUUCCCAGUUAUCUGCGUCCAUUAAUCACUCUUCUUGUGAAGAGAGACUUGAACCUGAGAGUCAGAACAUCAGCCAAAUCGCAGAGCAGCAGAUGCCUUACAAAAACAGACUGGGAAGCAGAGAACAAUCCUGUCAGCUCCUCUGUCUGGAAAAAAAGACAUGGCAAAUUUAGUCCUUUCCCAAUGCUCAUGGCUGGCUCAGAAGCUGAGAAACAGAGGAUGGCUGGCCAGGUGGCAUGCAAGUAUGUAGCUGGCCAGUUUACACAGAAAAUAGGCCGUGUGCAUCCUCCACGUAGACUGUAAGGCAGGGUGAAGAUAGGAAAAAGAGAGAAAAAUAUGUUGAGAAUGAGCAUGAAACUGUUUCCUUAACAGAGUAGAGUUGUAAACGGUAAGGAGCAGAGCUCGACUAUCGUUGAUCAGAUGUGUAGUGGAAGUACACCUGAGAAAGAGAAAUUCAUCAAUUGCAGUGGUUAUAAACUUUCUCUGUAAAGAGAGUUAUGAGGUAACAGUAUCUAAUUCAAAAUUAAUAAAAUGAUGUUUAAAAGAUUGAACUGAAUUUCUUUGUUAUUGUGCAAACUGCCAGUAGAGUCUUAACACUGAUUAUCUGUUCAAAUUUUCAGAAAUCAUAAAUGCAGAUGAACGUUCAGCAUGGCUUACCUUGGGGGGAUCCAGAGUUUUAAAAAAUGUUUGGUGUUCAUUAACACUGUCCAACACUGUCCACAAUGAGGCUUCUGUAGUCACUUCUGUUGCUUCUAUAGUGCUUCAGUGUUUGGUAUUGACUGCUAUAAUUGAUUGGUGAUUUAAAA